UAAACUGAGUCACUUUCUGACUUGCAGCAUUUGCUACUUCGUACUGGCAUGCAGUGAAAAAAGUUAACAUGCAGAGCAGAACACUUAUUGACGCCUGAAAGACCACAGCUACAGGUUCAAGUGGCCUUGCUGCUGCGAUCCAAAGUCCAAACAAGAUAAAGGAGGAGGGCUUUUUCAACAGGAGGUUUCAUUGUCUCAUUGAAGAGAAGAAAAGAUGUUUAAUACUCUUGUACUCAUUUGCGUGACUUGGUGGUAUGUGACACUAUUUCAUCCCUUGCAUGCUGACCUCCAGUGUACGGGGUCAGAAGCACAAGAAUCACCUAUUACAAAUGUGAAAAUGAACUGGAGAAAAAUGGAACUAUCCUGGGAGAGCAGCAAGAAUUUCUCUACAUACGAAUGUACCAUCAUGGACAAGAACAGGAAUUCUGUACCAAAAAAGGUGAAUAGUUCACCAUGCAGGUUUCCGGUGGAACAAUACAUUGCUCUGCACAAAGGGGUAUUCUUUACCAUUGAAGUGCCAAACACAAACAUCUCAGAAAGCUGCACCUUUAUCCCUGGAGGCAUGAACGGCUCGGCCAUUGAAAAUUUCUCCUGUGUGAUUUAUAACGUUUCCCUCAUGAACUGCACAUGGCAGGCAGGCAGGAAUGCUCCAGAAGAUACCCAAUAUUUUCUCUACUGGCAGUACUCGAGAUAUGAUGAUGCAAUGGAAUGCAAGCUUUACAUUAAAGAUGAAAACGGCAGAAACACGGGAUGUAGAUUCCAAAAUGUGACAAUACAGACUGCAGUAGAUGCUUACUUCCUGGUGAACGGGUCUAGCAAUGAGUCCCUGAUUCAGUUCUACGAUGAGUACAUUAAACUGUAUGAAAUUGAAAUACUCACUCCUCCAUUAAAUGUCACUGUCAAUUGUAUUAGAGAUUCAUCAGGCUGCAUAAUUACAUGGCAACAACCUCUUACAAGUCAUCGGAAAAAGACGAAGUGUUUUGAGUAUGAAAUUAGGAUACAAAAUAAGGAUGACCCCAAAAAAGAGAAUAAGGAUCCUCCUGUAAGAGUAAGGAACAACACAUACAAAUUCGAAAAUUACAAUAAGAAAAAGAAGUACAUUCUGAAAAUCAGAGCACGUGGAAGAAACUGUCUCUUGAGCUCAGACUGGGGGGAAUGGAGUGAACCCAUCGAGUUUGGUCAAGGGAAAGAUUACUUUAUUUUCGUGAUUUUAUUUCUGAUAGCACUUGGAACAAUCUCAGUGACGCUGCUCCCAUAUUGUCUUUUCAAAAGAUAUUGCAGUUUCAAGAACAUAUUUUCACCCAUUCCACAACCAAGAGACAAGUUCAAUGCGUCAAAUGGUGAAGAUACCCAGGUAUCUAACGCUGGUGGAGUGCUGUAAUUCUUCAAAGCAGAAAAUAAAGCACAACAAAUAGGUUCUCAGGAGAGCUCUCCUUCUCCAUUGAUACCGACAGAAUACGUAAAUCUACCAAAAAAGAGCCAUACGGAGGAAAUAACUAUAGUUGAAGAGAUGGUCUAACUUUCCCAGAAGAAAACACACUUGGAUUCCCCAACAUGAAAGAAAAUCACGGAUCUUGACAACUAAGGAGUACUUCAAAGCACAGACUUGAAUCGAAUACCACCACCUAUAAAACUAUCUGUCACAUGAAAAACCACCUAAAAUGGAGCAGGCGAAAGAAGUGGAGAAAACCUGGUAAAAAGCUGUUCUUUUCCCUUUGUUCAAAACCACAACGCCUGGCAGCUAAGCUUUUCUGCAAACACCUGCUGCGAAGACGGGCUUAAACCUUGCUGAGAUUUUCUUUGCAGUGUGAGGCAAGGCUUCUCAUCCACAACACGGAAGAAACUUACUAUUUCCUGUUGUUGUUGCUGUGGUGCUUCUUCCAGCUGAAUGUGAUGAUUUCCUAUAGGACUGCGCAGGAAUGCCACAGUAGUUAACUUUCCCUAACCAUUUUUGUAUACCCCAAGUAUUUUCUGAAGCAGACACUAGCUAUUUGAAGUGCGUUUAAAAUUGCCCUUCAGCCUUGCAACCAGCAAUACCAAACUGUCACUGCAUAUUCAAUAAACUUUAUGCAACACAGAAAAUGGGAAAUAAAAUGCCACUCGCCAAAAGUAACCCUUAUUGCUGGGCUGCCAGUCAGCCGUUUCAGGAGCUCGGUACUUCCAAUGCAAAUGCAAACACCUGCAAUAGCAAUAUGGACUUAACUCACACAGGUAUUAUUUAACUCUUAAAAAAAUGCAGUGUAACAGUUGUGAGAAUUGAAAUUAAACCUGUAUGUAACCUGAUUUAAUAACUGGUUUUUAAAUGGAAAGAUUUCCUCACACCAAUGUAUUUUAUUUAUUCCUUUUGAAGUGUGCAAGCCCUAUUUCCAAUGCCUCUUAAAAAUAAUAUAGGCUUUAGAUGCCGGCAUUUUCUUAUACAAAUUCCAGAUCUUAUCCUGUUAAAAAUAUUUUUUAAAAUAAAUGCGUUUCAAUGAGUAACUGUUUCAAUAAGGCAGAAAACAAAUGCUUUUUUUAAAAGUCUCAUUUAUUGUUCGCCUCUUAUGUUCCCACGCUGCAUAAUCAUACAUUGAAAAUUGCUGCUGCAUGACUAAGGGAAGCCACAUAUUAAAAAAAAAAAUAAAAAUGAACAACAAGUAGUACAUGCUGAACACACAGCAUAGGUAAACUGCA